rnacentral:rRNA from 1 species
AUUGAACGCUGGCGGCAGGCUUAACACAUGCAAGUCGAGCGAGCGGCGGACGGGUGAGUAAUGUCUGGGAAACUGCCUGAUAGAGGGGGAUACAUACUGGAAACGGUAGCUAAUACCGCAUACCAUCAGAUGUGCCCAGAUGGGAUUAGCUAGGAGGUGGGGUAAUGGCGCACCUAGUCGACGAUCCCUAGCUGGUCUGAGAGGAGGACCAUACAAACUGUAACUGAGACACGUUCCAGCCUCCUACGGGAGUCAGCAGUGGAUAAUAUUGCACAAUGGGCGCAAGCCGGAUGCAGCCAUGCCGCGUGUGUGAAGAAGGCCUUCGGUUUGUAAAGCACUUUCAGCGAGGAGGCGUUACUCGCAGAAUAAGCACCGGCUAACUCCGUGCCAGCAGCCGCGGUAAUUC